GACCGGCCCCUGGGGGCUAGAAAACCCGGGAGCGGAUCUUCGGAAUGGGUUCUGGGAGGAGCGCUCCUGGAGGGAGGAGGAAAACCCGGGCAGGAUCCGGGGCAGGAGCGGGGGCCCCGCAGCCCCCAGCCCUCGGCCCUGCCCCGCGCGGCCGGCCGACGCGAGCGGGUUUGAAGACCCGCUGGGCCGCGGGGAAGGGGCCGGGCGGGGCCCCGCGGGCCGCCCGGGGCCCGGGGGCCGGGGGGGGGGGCGCGCGGCCUCCGCACUGGGGCGCGGGUCACGUGUGAGGAGGGGCGAAAGUCUCGCAAAGCGGGGCGGCGUGCCGCGAGUUGGGAGUUCUCGGCGCGCCGCGGGCGGCGGGAGCUCGGGCUCCCGGGCGAGCCGGGGACGCGGCGGAGGCGCGGGCCUGGGUCCGAGACAGCGGGGGCCGCACCGAGAGUGGGAGGGAGAGAGAGACAGAGAAGGACAGACGGAGACCGGGAGGAGGACAGAUAGAGACGCGCAGGGGAGACAGGGCAGAGGCGGAGGGAGGCAGGGGAGACACCAGGGGAGGGCGGCAGGGAGAAGACAGAGACCCCGCAGGGAGAGACGGAGAAACCCGCACGGGGACAGAGGAGACCGGCAGAGGGACAGAGAGCCCGGGGGGCAGCCGGGGUGGGUGGCGGCGGAUCCCGGGCCGGCGGGCCGCAGGGUUCUCGGGGCCGGGGCCGGAGGCGAGCGCCGCGGGGCAGGGCGCGGAGCGCAGGGCGGGGGACAGUGCGGAGUGACAGCGCGAGAACAGCGGCGGGCGGCGGCGGAGGGGCGACGGGGGCGGGGGGCGCGAGCGCUGGCGGUCGAGCGCCAUGGGCCCCCGGACCCCCGAGCUCUGAGCCGGGGCCCGGCCCGACGAUGCUGACGCCCAGGCGGCGCCGGGGGCGCGGCGCGGGGCAGCGCUGAAAGUUGGGCGGCCCGCGGGGAGCGGCGCGGGACGGGCCCGAGGCGCGGAGACCCGGAGACCAACGGACAGACCCACCGGCAGCCGGGGAGGGGGGGCGGCGCCGGCCCGCCGAGUUCGCGGGGAGGGGGCGCCGGGACUCCCCUCUCCCCGCCCGGGACGCCGCCCGCCCGAUCGCGCCGUGGGAUGUAGAGCCCGCUCGCCGCCUCCUGGACCUUCGUCGGACCCUCCGCCCCGCGGGGCCCUGCUGUCCGGUUGCCGCUCUGCCUCCCUCCGCUGUGCCGGGUCCUCGUCCGCGGGCAGGGGAUGCCCAGCGGCUCUGGGGCCUCCGCUCUCCUCCUCAGCAUUCCUGCCCCAGGCGGCCGCAUCCGCUUCCACAGCUUCCAGCAGCGCCGGUGGUCAGCAUCAAACCUCAGGUCGGACGUGCUGCGGACUUCUCCACCCGCACACCCCACGGCCACCGCACACCCCACGGCCACCGCACACUGGAAAUCAUCACUCCUUAAAUCGGGUCCUCUUUCAGUGUCCCGUUGCACCUGUUCCCAACACCCCUCUUCCCAACCGCUCCAUGCAACCCGCCACCGCGCCCUGCAGGCCACCGCCUGGGCCGCACCGGAGCCCGCUGGAAAGCCUCCUGCGUGCAUGGGAACCCGCGCAGGGCCUCUUACCCCGUGAGUGCACCGGACCCGGAAAGCAGAGGCCUCCGAGGCCAGACCAGGGCAGGGGGCCACAGGAGCCACAUCGAGGAGGGUUUUUUGUUUUUUGUUUUUCUUUUCUUUUUUUAAGUAGGCUCCACGCCCAGCAUGGAGCCCAGCGCGGGGGGCUUGAACUCAUGACCCUGCGAUCAAGACCUGAGCAGAGAUGGACUGAGAUGCUUAACCAAACUGAGCCCCCCAGUUGCCCUGAGGAGGUUUUAUUUCUUAAGCCUGGUGGUGGAUACACAAGGGUUUAUUGUAUUAUUCUUUAUUCCUAUUUGUCUUAA
rnacentral:lncRNA from 1 species